rnacentral:sRNA from 1 species
GCACGGAGGGAUUCUCCACCUAGGGUGGU